rnacentral:rRNA from 1 species
GAUUUCUGGCUUGUCCCAGUUUGCCGGCCACGGUUUCGUGUGUUAGUGCUUGCUGGUCUGGCCAUCCUUCCAAUCGCUGCGGCGCCUUCUUCAUUGAGGGCGCAGCGGUAUUGGAUCGUUUACUUUGAAAAAAUUAGAGUGUUUCAAGCAGGCUUUAUGCUAUGAAUACAUUAGCAUGGAAUAAUAAUUUAGGACUUCGGUUCUAUUUUGUUGGUUUCUAGGACUGAAGUAAUGAUUGAUAGGGACGGUUGGGGGUGCUAGUAUUCAGCGGCCAGAGGUGAAAUUCUCGGAUUCGCUGAAGACUAACUUAUGCGAAAGCAUU